rnacentral:rRNA from 1 species
CCUACGGGAGGCAGCAGUGAGGAAUAUUGGUCAAUGGACGAGAGUCUGAACCAGCCAAGUAGCGUGAAGGAUGACUGCCCUAUGGGUUGUAAACUUCUUUUAUAUGGGAAUAAAAUGUUCCACGUGUGGGAUUUUGUAUGUACCAUAUGAAUAAGGAUCGGCUAACUCCGUGCCAGCAGCCGCGGUAAUACGGAGGAUCCGAGCGUUAUCCGGAUUUAUUGGGUUUAAAGGGAGCGUAGGUGGAUUGUUAAGUCAGUUGUGAAAGUUUGCGGCUCAAACGUAAAAUUGCAGUUGAUACUGGCAGUCUUGAGUACAGUAGAGGUGGGCGGAAUUCGUGGUGUAGCGGUGAAAUGCUUAGAUAUCACGAAGAACUCCGAUUGCGAAGGCAGUUCACUGGACUGCAACUGACACUGAGGCUCGAAAGUGUGGGUAUCAAACAGGAUUAGAUACCCUUGUAGUC